rnacentral:rRNA from 1 species
AUUGAACGCUGGCGGCAGGCCUAACACAUGCAAGUCGGGCGAGUGGCGGACGGGUGAGUAAUGUAUGGGGACUGCCUGAUGGAGGGGGAUAACUACUGGAAACUGUAGCUAAUACCGCAUACUAUCGGAUAACCCAUAUGGGAUUAGCUAGUUGGUGAGGUAAUGGCUCACCAAGGCGACGAUCCCUAGCUGGUCUGAGAGGAUGAUCAGCCACACUGGGACUGAGACACGGCCCAGACUCCUACGGAGGCAGCAGUGGGGAAUAUUGCGCAAUGGGGGCAAGCCUGAUGCAGCCAUGCCGCGUGUAUGAAGAAGGCCCUAGGGUUGUAAAGUUCUUUCGGCAGUGAGGCGUUACCCGCAGAAGAAGCACCGGCUAACUCCGUGCCAGCAGCCGCGGUAAUUC